GAAAUAUAAUUUAUUUUGUAACGCAUAAAAGUCACUAUAUGCACAUGUUGAUUUUCCAAAAUGGCCGCUUGUGAAUGUCCCUAGUAUAUGACAUACUGUCCCAUGACAAUUACUUCAUUCAACAUUGUUUUGUGUUUGUUGUAAUAUUUAUUUUAUCGUAAUUGCAUGUGGAUUGUAUUGCUGUUGAAAUUUAUAAUUUAUUAAUAGCAUUCUUUGACUGCUUUGUUUUCGGUGGUUUAUUUUUAUAGAGCGUUUGCUUGAUUGAUUUAGUUUUAAUAUGUGCAUAAUGUGUUACCACCUUGUUACCACUUUUGUGUAGUAUAAUUUUAUUUCUUUAUACCAAGUUCUAUUCCUUCGAUGCUGCAUCGCUUGCUUAAAACAUUUACAUACUACUUCAUCUUUACUCUCCACGUCUACAUACUGCGUCCCUCAUACAAGACACCUGCACAGCAUGCACUUGGCAUCACCCGGUUCCUCGUUAUGCUCUCGACACUUAUUACGAGUACUUUUAUUUAUUCUACAUUUGUAGUUUUUUCAUGUCGUCUUGAACAUUCCAGUAACAUCUGCUUCGAUUCUUCAUAUACAUUUACUUCAAUUUGGUAGUUGAUUUCUCAUAACUGCGUUGACUCUUGUGUAAAUGUCUUCGAUGUGAGUAAUGACUUAUUUUUGACAUUCACUUAACCUAUCUUAGUUAUUUCUUAACCUCUUUCUACACUCAUUGAUUGAAUUUACUUCUUCUUAUUAAAGACUGCUGCGUCAAUGUUGAGAAAUUUCGUUAUAAUGUCACUAAUUUUCUUGGUUUUUCAGUUUUAUUUUCCAUUGACCCUGUAAGUCUGUUGUCGAGCAUCAAUUAUUGAUUGUUAUCAUGCUUCAUUUAGUUUAAUUGAAAUAUAAUUGUAAAUCUUUAAUAGUAUUAUUUUCUUCCAUAUAUAUUAAGGCAAUUGAGGUUAGUUUAUUCAUUCGUUUCUGCUGACAGUCUUAUACUAUGUUCUACAGAGUGGGUCCACAACUUGUUUCUGCGAAAUUCCUGCAUGUACGCUUCCUUCUACGAUGAUUAAUUGUGCACUAGGUGCUUUUAACUUUCACUGCUUUUAAUUAUUUUAUUGAAUUAACGUGUUGUGUAUUUAAAUAAUCGUUAGAACACACACAUAGUAAUUUUCCUUUUUCUUUUACGUUUCUACUAUCUGCAUGAUUCGAUAAGCACUGUCACACUUCCUUUGGUUUAGGCAAAACAUUUAGUAAUAUUAUGUUUUGUAUCGGAACGAUUGGAGUUAAUUCCUACAU